rnacentral:rRNA from 1 species
UACGAAGGGGGCUAGCGUUGCUCGGAAUCACUGGGCGUAAAGGGCGCGUAGGCGGACUCUUAAGUCGGGGGUGAAAGCCCAGGGCUCAACCCUGGAAUUGCCUUCGAUACUGAGAGUCUUGAGUUCGGAAGAGGUUGGUGGAACUGCGAGUGUAGAGGUGAAAUUCGUAGAUAUUCGCAAGAACACCAGUGGCGAAGGCGGCCAACUGGUCCGAUACUGACG